ensembl:snRNA U6 U6 spliceosomal RNA
GUGCUCACCUUUGGCAGCGCAUAAAGUCAAAAUUGGAACACUACAGAGAAAGUUAGCAUGGCCUCCUCUAAAAGGAUUGCAUGCAAAUUCAUGCAACAUUCCAUAGUUUU